GGGUUGUGAGGUUAAGCGACUAAGCGUACACGGUGGAUGCCCUGGCAGUCAGAGGCGAUGAAGGACGUGCUAAUCUGCGAUAAGCGUCGGUAAGGUGAUAUGAACCGUUAUAACCGGCGAUUUCCGAAUGGGGAAACCCAGUGUGAUUCGUCACACUAUCAUUAACUGAAUCCAUAGGUUAAUGAGGCGAACCGGGGGAACUGAAACAUCUAAGUACCCCGAGGAAAAGAAAUCAACCGAGAUUCCCCCAGUAGCGGCGAGCGAACGGGGAGCAGCCCAGAGCCUGAAUCAGUGUGUGUGUUAGUGGAAGCGUCUGGAAAGGCGCGCGAUACAGGGUGACAGCCCCGUACACAAAAAUGCACAUGCUGUGAGCUCGAUGAGUAGGGCGGGACACGUGGUAUCCUGUCUGAAUAUGGGGGGACCAUCCUCCAAGGCUAAAUACUCCUGACUGACCGAUAGUGAACCAGUACCGUGAGGGAAAGGCGAAAAGAACCCCGGCGAGGGGAGUGAAAAGAACCUGAAACCGUGUACGUACAAGCAGUGGGAGCCUCUUUAUGGGGUGACUGCGUACCUUUUGUAUAAUGGGUCAGCGACUUAUAUUCUGUAGCAAGGUUAACCGAAUAGGGGAGCCGAAGGGAAACCGAGUCUUAACUGGGCGUUAAGUUGCAGGGUAUAGACCC
rnacentral:rRNA from 1 species